GAUGAACGCUAGCGACAGGCCUAACACAUGCAAGUCGAGGGGCAUCGGGGUGUAGCAAUACGCUGCCGGCGACCGGCGGAUGGGUGAGUAACGCGUAUGCAACCUGCCUUCAGCAGGGGGAUAGCCCGUUGAAAGACGGAUUAAUACCCCCGUAACACAGGGGCUCCGCAUGGAGAUUAUUGUUAAAGGGAUGCUUCCUUCGGGGAGUAUUCUGGCUGAAGAUGGGCAUGCGUUCCAUUAGGUAGUUGGUUGAGGUAACGGCUCACCAAGCCUGCGAUGGAUAGGGGAACUGAGAGGUUGGUCCCCCACACUGGUACUGAGACACGGACCAGACUCCUACGGGAGGCAGCAGUGAGGAAUCUUGGUCAAUGGACGGAAGUCUGAACCAGCCAUGUCGCGUGAAGGAGGACGGCCCUAAGGGUUGUAAACUUCUUUUGCAGGGGAAUAAAGUAUUCCACGAGAUGGGAUAUUGCAAGUACGCUGCGAAUAAGGAUCGGCUAACUCCG
rnacentral:rRNA from 1 species